GGUCAAGUGAAGAAGCGCAUACGGUGGAUGCCUUGGCAGUCAGAGGCGAUGAAAGACGUGAUAGCCUGCGAUAAGCUUCGGUGAGGUGGCAAAUGACCUGUGACCCGGAGAUCUCUGAAUGGGGGAACCCACCUAGGAUAACCUAGGUAUCUUAACCUGAAUCCAUAGGGUUAAGAGGCGAACCAGGGGAACUGAAACAUCUAAGUACCCUGAGGAAUAGAAAUCAACCGAGAUUCCCUUAGUAGUGGCGAGCGAACGGGGACCAGCCCUUAAGUUGAUUUGAGAGUAGCGGAACGCUCUGGAAAGUGCGGCCAUAGUGGGUGAUAGCCCUGUACGCGAAACGCUCUUAUCAAUGAAAUCGAGUAGGACGGGGCACGAGAAACCCUGUCUGAAUAUGGGGGGACCAUCCUCCAAGGCUAAAUACUCCUGACUGACCGAUAGUGAACCAGUACCGUGAGGGAAAGGCGAAAAGAACCCCGGAGAGGGGAGUGAAAUAGAACCUGAAACCGUAUGCGUACAAGCAGUGGGAGCCUACUUUGUUAGGUGACUGCGUACCUUUUGUAUAAUGGGUCAGCGACUUAUUUUCAGUGGCGAGCUUAACCGAAUAGGGGAGGCGUAGCGAAAGCGAGUCUUAAUAGGGCGUCUAGUCGCUGGGAAUAGACCCGAAACCGGGCGAUCUAUCCAUGAGCAGGUUGAAGGUUAGGUAACACUGACUGGAGGACCGAACCCACUCCCGUUGAAAAGGUAGGGGAUGACUUGUGGAUCGGAGUGAAAGGCUAAUCAAGCUCGGAGAUAGCUGGUUCUCCUCGAAAGCUAUUUAGGUAGCGCCUCAUGUAUCACUCUGGGGGGUAGAGCACUGUUUCGGCUAGGGGGUCAUCCCGACUUACCAAACCGAUGCAAACUCCGAAUACCCAGAAGUGCCGAGCAUGGGAGACACACGGCGGGUGCUAACGUCCGUCGUGAAAAGGGAAACAACCCAGACCGUCAGCUAAGGUCCCAAAGUCCUGGUUAAGUGGUAAACGAUGUGGGAAGGCUUAGACAGCUAGGAGGUUGGCUUAGAAGCAGCCACCCUUUAAAGAAAGCGUAAUAGCUCACUAGUCGAGUCGGCCUGCGCGGAAGAUGUAACGGGGCUCAAACCAGGCACCGAAGCUACGGGUAUCACCUUUGGUGAUGCGGUAGAGGAGCGUUCUGUAAGCCUGUGAAGGUGAGUUGAGAAGCUUGCUGGAGGUAUCAGAAGUGCGAAUGCUGACAUGAGUAACGACAAUGCGAGUGAAAAACUCGCACGCCGAAAGACCAAGGGUUCCUGCGCAACGUUAAUCGACGCAGGGUGAGUCGGUCCCUAAGGCGAGGCUGAAAGGCGUAGUCGAUGGGAAACGGGUUAAUAUUCCCGUACUUCUAGUUACUGCGAUGGGGGGACGGAGAAGGCUAGGCCAGCUUGGCGUUGGUUGUCCAAGUUUAAGGUGGUAGGCUGAUCGUUUAGGUAAAUCCGGACGGUCAAGGCCGAGAGCUGAUGACGACCCUUCUUUUAGAAGGGGAAGUGGUUGAUGCCAUGCUUCCAGGAAAAGCCUCUAAGCUUCAGGUAACUAGGAACCGUACCCCAAACCGACACAGGUGGUCGGGUAGAGAAUACCAAGGCGCUUGAGAGAACUCGGGUGAAGGAACUAGGCAAAAUGGCACCGUAACUUCGGGAGAAGGUGCGCCGGUGAGGGUGAAGGGUUUACCCCGUAAGCUCAUGCCGGUCGAAGAUACCAGGCCGCUGCGACUGUUUAUUAAAAACACAGCACUCUGCAAACACGAAAGUGGACGUAUAGGGUGUGACGCCUGCCCGGUGCCGGAAGGUUAAUUGAUGGGGUUAGCGCAAGCGAAGCUCUUGAUCGAAGCCCCGGUAAACGGCGGCCGUAACUAUAACGGUCCUAAGGUAGCGAAAUUCCUUGUCGGGUAAGUUCCGACCUGCACGAAUGGCGUAACGAUGGCGGCGCUGUCUCCACCCGAGACUCAGUGAAAUUGAAAUCGCUGUGAAGAUGCAGUGUAUCCGCGGCUAGACGGAAAGACCCCGUGAACCUUUACUGUAGCUUUGCACUGGACUUUGAGCUUGCUUGUGUAGGAUAGGUGGGAGGCUUUGAAGU
rnacentral:rRNA from 1 species